rnacentral:ribozyme from 1 species
UGAAAAUCGGAGGACAGCUCGACUAGCCUUGAAGGUUGGCAUCGGACGCCCACACACCCACUCACCACCGUAGCUGCAAGUGGAACAAACACCACAAAGAUUUAACACACACAAACAAAAACAAAAAACAAAACAAAAACAAAAAAA